UGGAUUUUGUGGAGAUUUCUUGGCCUUUUUUUUUUUUGAAAAUGAAGUGGAUUUGGACUUGAGAUUUGAGCAUUUUUGGGUUUAACGAAGUAAUUCUCAGGAUUUUUGCUUUGCGGGUUUUGGUGAUCUCGUCUUCUUCUCCUCCUUCCUUCUUGGUUUUGACUUUGGAGAGAUGAAUGAAUCCACGGGGCAAACGACAUCGUGUCUGGCGAUAACGGAAAAACGGCCACACAGGCCUGGUGGCUGUGUGGGCAUUUUCUUUCAGCUUUUUGAUUGGAACCGAAGAUUUGCCAAGAAAAAGCUCUUCUCCAGGAAAUUGCUUCCUCCAGCUCGUGCAAA
rnacentral:misc_RNA from 1 species